rnacentral:tRNA from 1 species
UCCCUGGUAGUCCAAUGGUUGUGACUCUGCACUCCCAAUGCAGGGGGCCUGGGUUCAAUCCCUGGUUGGGGAC